UGGGGAAUAUUGCACAAUGGGCGGAAGCCUGAUGCAGCGACGCCGCGUGGGGGAUGAAGGCCUUCGGGUUGUAAACUCCUUUCGACAGGGACGAAGCUUUUGUGACGGUACCUGUAUAAGAAGCACCGGCUAACUACGUGCCAGCAGCCGCGGUAAUACGUAGGGUGCGAGCGUUGUCCGGAAUUACUGGGCGUAAAGAGCUCGUAGGUGGUUUGUCGCGUCGUCUGUGAAAUUCCGGGGCUUAACUCCGGGCGUGCAGGCGAUACGGGCUGACUUGAGUGCUGUAGGGGAGACUGGAAUUCCUGGUGUAGCGGUGAAAUGCGCAGAUAUCAGGAGGAACACCGAUGGCGAAGGCAGGUCUCUGGGCAGUACCUGACGCUGAGGAGCGAAAGCCUGGGUAGCGAACAGG
rnacentral:rRNA from 1 species